rnacentral:rRNA from 1 species
UACAGAGGUCUCAAGCGUUGUUCGGAUUCAUUGGGCGUAAAGGGUGCGUAGGCGGCGCGGUAAGUCGGGUGUGAAAUCUCGGAGCUUAACUCCGAAACUGCAUUCGAUACUGCCGUGCUUGGAGGACUGGACGAGGCACUGGAAUUCCCAGUGUAGCGGUGAAAUGCGUAGAUAUUGGGAAGAACACCUGAGGCGAAGGCGGGUUGCUGGGCCGACACUGACGCUGAGGCGCGAAAGCCAGGGGAGCAAACGGG